AUUGAACGCUGGCGGCAGGCCUAACACAUGCAAGUCGAAUGGUAACAGGAAACAGCUUGCUGUUUCGCUGACGAGUGGCGGACGGGUGAGUAAUGUCUGGGAAACUGCCUGAUGGAGGGGGAUAACUACUGGAAACGGUAGCUAAUACCGCAUAACGUCGCAAGACCAAAGAGGGGGACCUUCGGGCCUCCUGCCAUCAGCUGUGCCCAGGUGGGAUUAGCUAGUAGGUGGGGUAACGGCUCACCUAGGCGACGAUCCCUAGCUGGUCUGAGAGGAUGACCAGCCACACUGGAACUGAGACACGGUCCAGACUCCUACGGGAGGCAGCAGUGGGGAAUAUUGCACAAUGGGCGCAAGCCUGAUGCAGCCAUGCCGCGUGUAUGAAGAAGGCCUUCGGGUUGUAAAGUACUUUCAGCGGGGAGGAAGGGAGUAAAGUUAAUACCUUGGCUCAUUGACGUUACCCGCAGAAGAAGCACCGGCUAACUCCGUG
rnacentral:rRNA from 1 species